UGGUGUUCUCAGGGCGGGGUGCAAUUCCCCACCGGCGGUGACAGCCCGCGAGCGCCCCUUGCCACGGCAGGGGGGUCAGCAGAUCCGGUGAAAUUCCGGGGCCGACGGUAUAGUCCGGAUGGAAGAGAACCGCC
rnacentral:ncRNA from 2 species